GGAUGAACGCUGGCGGCGUGCCUAAUACAUGCAAGUCGAGCGAACGGACGAGAAGCUUGCUUUUCUGAUGUUAGCGGCGGACGGGUGAGUAACACGUGGAUAACCUACCUAUAAGACUGGGAUAACUUCGGGAAACCGGAGCUAAUACCGGAUAAUAUUUUGAACCGCAUGGUUCAAAAGUGAAAGACGGUCUUGCUGUCACUUAUAGAUGGAUCCGCGCUGCAUUAGCUAGUUGGUAAGGUAACGGCUUACCAAGGCAACGAUGCAUAGCCGACCUGAGAGGGUGAUCGGCCACACUGGAACUGAGACACGGUCCAGACACCUACGGGAGGCAGCAGUAGGGAAUCUUCCGCAAUGGGCGAAAGCCUGACGGAGCAACGCCGCGUGAGUGAUGAAGGUCUUCGGAUCGUAAAACUCUGUUAUUAGGGAAGAACAUAUGUGUAAGUAACUGUGCACAUCUUGACGGUACCUAAUCAGAAAGCCACGGCUAACUACGUG
rnacentral:rRNA from 1 species